UACGUAUGGAGCAAGCGUUAUCCGGAUUUACUGGGUGUAAAGGGAGCGCAGGCGGCUUUGCAAGUCUGAUGUGAAAGGCCGGGGCUCAACCCCGGGACUGCAUUGGAAACUGUAAAGCUAGAGUGCCGGAGAGGUAAGCGGAAUUCCUAGUGUAGCGGUGAAAUGCGUAGAUAUUAGGAGGAACACCAGUGGCGAAGGCGGCUUACUGGACGGCAACUGACGCUGAGGCUCGUAAGCGUGGGGAGCAAACAGG
rnacentral:rRNA from 1 species